ACCGCGGUUGCCUAGUUGGUAGAGGCGUCGGCAUUACAGAUACCGUUGGUCGCAGGUUCAAAUCCUGCCUGCGGUG